AUUGAACGCUGGCGGCAGGCUUAACACAUGCAAGUCGAGCGGGGUGAUGGUGCUUGCACUAUCACUUAGCGGCGGACGGGUGAGUAAUGCUUAGGAAUCUGCCUAUUAGUGGGGGACAACAUCUCGAAAGGGAUACUAAUACCGCAUACGUCCUACGGGAGAAAGCAGGGGAUCACUUGUGACCUUGCGCUAAUAGAUGAGCCUAAGUCGGAUUAGCUAGUUGGUGGGGUAAAGGCCUACCAAGGCGACGAUCUGUAGCGGGUCUGAGAGGAUGAUCCGCCACACGGGGACUGAGACACGGCCCAGACUCCUACGGGAGGCAGCAGUGGGGAAUAUUGGACAAUGGGGGGAACCCUGAUCCAGCCAUGCCGCGUGUGUGAAGAAGGCCUUAUGGUUGUAAAGCACUUAAGCGAGGAGGAGGCUCUUUUGGUUAAUACCCAAGAUGAGUGGACGUUACUCGCAGAAUAAGCACCGGCUAACUCUGUGCCAGCCGCCGCGGUAA
rnacentral:rRNA from 1 species